GCCAACUUACUUCUGAUGAAGCUGGCACAGCAGAGUGACGGGAUGUGGCUCCCGAGAUCCGGUUACAAAGCCUGUGGCUCUGUCUUCGCUGUGCUCUCUGGCUCUCUGGCAUCCUGGGGGGUGCUGGCUGCUGUGCUGGGAGGAAGCCCUGUGGACAAGCCCAGGUGACAGCGAUGAGGGGCUGAGUCAACAGCUGUGCAAGUGAGCUGGGGAGCAGAUCCCCUAAGCUGAGCCUUCAGAUGAGCCUGCAGCCCCAACCCAAAGGCUCGGUACAACCCACGAGAGACGGUUCACGGGUGCAGUGGCUGGUGGGAGCCUCAGGUUCCAGGUCCAGAGCUCCAGGUGUCGCAGGCUUGACCUUGGAAAGAUGGAUCCAGCUACUUAAUCCUAGUACUUUGACCUCCGAAG
rnacentral:lncRNA from 1 species